rnacentral:rRNA from 1 species
GAUGAACGCUGUCGGCGUGCCUAAUACAUGCAAGUCGAGCGAACAGACGAGGAGCUUGCUCCUCUGUCGUUAGCGGCGGACGGGUGAGUAACACGUGGAUAACCUACCUAUAAGACUGGGAUAACUUCGGGCAACCGGAGCUAAUACCGGAUCAUAUUUUGAACCGCAUGGUUCAAUAGUGAAAGACGGUUUUGCUGUCACUUAUAGAUGGAUCCCCGCCGCAUUAGCUAGUUGGUAAGGUAACGGCUUACCAAGGGAACGAUGCGUAGCCGACCGGAGAGGGUGAUCGGCCCCACUGGAACGGAGACACGGUCCAGACUCCUACGGGAGGCAGCAGUAGGGAAUCUGCCGCAAUGGGCGAAAGCCUGACGGAGCAACGCCGCGUGAGUGAUGAAGGUCCUCGGAUCGUAAAACUCUGUUAUUAGGGAAGAACAUAUGUGUAAGUAACUAUGCACAUCUUGACGGUACCUAAUCAGAAAGCCACGGCUAACUACGUG